ACUGUUCGAGGCCAGUGUUUCAUAAUAAUAGAUUAUUCCUUUAAACCAGUCGUAUGGACCGAGUCUUGAUUUUGUCGUGAGGAGUGCAGCUGUGGUCAGGCAGAGGUUAAUGGUUCCGCGCUCUGGCGGCUGGGCAGGCGCGGAGCUGCGGCGCUCUGACGCGGGGAUGGAGAGCUCAGAGAUGCGCUGCUGCUGCUGCUCCGACAGGAUCCCGCGGCCUGCUGCUUUCUCCGCUCUUCUGCGCCGAAGCUUUAAAUCACGGACAGACAGACACGCAGGGUCAUCCCCCGAGGGUGUUGAUCUGGGUCAGAUCACUUAUCGCUGAUCUCUACAAGCCGCCUUUCCCAGCUUCGUUUCACUGCUGCCUAUUUUUGGAGUUUCCUGGUGUGGAGUCCCCAAAGAAAAGAUACACCAAUAGGUAGGCUGUUCUUUCUUUCUUUCUUUCUUUCUUUCUUUCUUUCUUUCUUUGACCUUUAAAAGCACUACAUACAUUUAUGUUACUUGAAAAGUAAUUCUGCGAUUCCAGAAAGAAGCUUUCGUUUUAUAUUUUUAAUUAAAUUUGAAAUCUCUAUUUCCAUCUCUAUUUUCCCAGGUUGUGGUUUUAGCCUACAUUUUCAGUAUAAAUCUUUUAUUCUUUUGUCUAAUUUUUGGUGUUUUUUGAGCAGUAUGAUAUGGAGUCAUAAAAAAUCUGGACAAUUGAGCAGAAGAAAUUAGUUAAAAUGAAACAAAAGUUGCAUUCUGAUCAUUCCUGCUUGUCCUUUAAGCCCAUUGACUUUCAAAUUCUUGCAUGCUUUUUCACUCUGCCCAUAUAAGUUUGAGCUAAUUUCCUGAGCCCUUCAGCUGCUCGUAAUGCUGAUUGGCAAAUGUGUUCCAGAGCGGUUGGCGUCAUCUUCAGUAAAGCCUCAGUGCUGAUGAUGUAAAGAUUUGGCUGUAAGCUGCUAUAAGCUUAUGAGCCAGUCAGUCCCAAUCAAUUUACUCUCCUCUUAGUCCAGUUAAAGCUCCACACACGGAGGCCACAAUGGCGUAAUGCUGGCGGUUAUGGUCUGGGGCGCAUAAAGAGAACUUCUCCAUUUGGAUGCUUGCACAUUGUUUUGGCGGCAGUGUGACGCUGGGGUCACUGAGAGCUCACGGUUUAGGAAGGAGUUGCCUAAGUUAAUGGAACGUGUAGUUUGAAGACAUAGUAGUUAGACUGAUUACAGAAGAAAAGAGAAAGAAAUUGCUUGGUUAAACAAAUUGCUAAUCAGCCAAUCAGAUGGCAGCAACUCAAUGCAUUUAGGCAUCUAGAUGUGGUGAAGAUGACUUGCUGAAGUUCAAACCAAGCAUCAGAAUGGGGAAGAAAGGGGAUUUAAGUGACUUUGGACGUGGAA
ensembl:lncRNA